AGCCCCAUCGUCUAGCGGUCAAGGACACGAGGCUCUGAACCUCGUUACACUGGUUCGAAUCCGGUUGGGGCUA
rnacentral:tRNA from 1 species